ACGAUUAUAUACGAUAAUAAUAUUGACCAUCUACGGUAUGAUUAGUGAUAUACUCGGAUUAGGGACUUUAUCCGAACGUUGCAUCAGUUAUUGUGUGAAUCUUACCAGGGGAUUAAUUGGAGGGCACAUUGACGUACCACGUUUAUUAGAGCGACUUUGCUUACGUGUUCCUGCCGGUAAAACCGGCAUUCAGCGGUCCUUUUACUUGUCUGUUUGUUUUUAAUAAAUAUCCCCAUUACUAGAACGAUUAGUCAAACGAUAGUCAACGAUAGUCAACAAACUUUAGUCAACGAUAACUAGUUUUAUUCGUUACUAUUCCACUCUUUAUUAUGCUGUUAAUGAAUUAUGUUACUACUAAUGUAUUUUUAAAAGAAUGGUUGA